rnacentral:rRNA from 1 species
CCUACGGGAGGCAGCAGUGAGGAAUAUUGGUCAAUGGACGAGAGUCUGAACCAGCCAAGUAGCGUGAAGGAUGACUGCCCUAUGGGUUGUAAACUUCUUUUAUCUGGGAAUAAAAUGUUGCACGUGUGGCAGUUUGUAUGUACCAUAUGAAAAAGGAUCGGCUAACUCCGUGCCAGCAGCCGCGGUAAUACGGAGGAUCCGAGCGUUAUCCGGAUUUAUUGGGUUUAAAGGGUGCGUAGGCGGACUGCCAAGUCAGCGGUAAAAGCCCGGGGCUCAACCGCGUCCCGCCGUUGAAACUGGCGUUCUUGAGUGGGCGAGAGGUAUGCGGAAUGCGCGGUGUAGCGGUGAAAUGCAUAGAUAUCACGCAGAACUCCGAUUGCGAAGGCAGCAUACCGGCGCCCAACUGACGCUGAGGCACGAAAGCGUGGGUAUCGAACAGGAUUAGAUACCCUAGUAGUC